GUGCAAGCGUGCAUGUGUUGGUGGGAUUAUAGCUGUGAAGGCACGGUGAUGUAUGUGUAGAGUUAAUCUCAGGUACUGAACCUUUCCUUCCGCCUUGCUGGAGUCGGGUCUACCUUUCGGCGGCCACUAGCCAGCAGGAAAGCUCUAGGGCUUCUGUCUCUGCCUCGCAUCUUGCCCAAGCACUGGGAGCACAGAUCAAGAUGUAGAACUCUUCUACUUCUCCAGCACCGUCUGCUUCCUGCCAUGAUGAUAACGGACGAAACCUCUGAACCUGCCAGAAGAAGACACCAGAUCUCACUACAGAUGCUUAUGAGCCACCAUGUGGUUGCUGGGAAUUGAACUCAGGACCUCUGGGAGAACAGCCAGUGCUCUUAACCCCUUAGCCAUCUCUCCAGCCCUCACUCGUCUCUCAUUUUAAGACAAGAAAUAUUCUCCUCUUCAGAGAUUACCAGUUAAAUAAAGAUUUUUUA